AUGCCUGUCCUCCACUGUCAAAGUUGUGCUUGCCCUUUUUAUUCUUUUUAUAUGGUCCUUAGACCAAAUCAUUCUCUUAGUCCCUAUUUCUAAAAGCAGUUAUUAAUUAGUCCUUCGUAUUUUAAUUGGUUGCUAGUGUCCAUGGAGUCCUCCUCCUCCACCUCCUCCUCCUCCUCCUCCUCCUGACCAUCAUCAUCAUCCUUGCCUGAUAAACUAGUUGCAUGGUAGUGAAGUUGUGCCAUGUGCUUGUAAAGUGCAUCGAUUUACUUCUUACAUGAUUCUUGGUUCUUUGGAGAUAAAAAGGAAAACAACCGGUUAAAAACACCAUCUCUGAUAUAUAUAUAUAGUUUUUGUUGUUGCUGAUUCUAUAUUUUAUUAAGAAUUUAGAUGUGCAAUUUACCUCCAAACUUGAUCUCUAUCAUUUCUUUUGUUUGUUUUUUAAUUUUCUUAUAUUAUGUUAAUUAGUGAUUAACUUAGAUUUUCUUUUUUUUUUAUGAAUAGAUGAUUCCAAAUUUAAAUUUCGUUACUUGAAAUUUUCUCUCGUAUUGUAUAUUCCUAAACUCAGUAUAUUGUUAAUAUUUUUGAAUCUUUUCUCUUAAGAUAUAACAACAAGCUUUCAGUCUUUUCUCUGAUACUACAAAAAAAUUCAAGGUGAUCCAACACUUGGAUACUAGAGAUAAAUUAAAAAAAUUAACAUAAAAAUGAUAAAAAUAUUACAUGAAUAGCAGUUAAAAAGUGAUAAAUAUAACAUGCUGUUUUUCCUUGUCUGUUUGGUCAAGUAGGGGAUGAGCGAGUUGACUCAGUUUUGAGUUGGAGCUCUAGUCUUGUAUUUUUCAAAGAAGAUGAGCACCUAGGGUAGACUUGUUACGGGUUCUCACAAGAGGAAUGAGUUUCCCCUCGUAAAUAAGGGUGAGCAGAAUAACCGAGUAACUAGAGAAAUGGAAAAACUGAAAAAAACUGAAAUUUGAGGUGGGUUAGUGCAUUGGCAUCAUCUGGGAAGAAAGCCGUCGGAGCAAACUCCCACAGUUCCAUUCAUUGUUGAAGGUAAAAAAGCAAGACAUGUGAAAAGUCAUGGCCCUCUCAGUUUCCUAAAGAAACUUUGAUGUCCUAAAACAACAAGGUUCACGAUCUAUGUCAACCACACGGUUCCAAUGGAUCAGCCAAAAGCUGCAUUACAGAUGUUGAAGAGCUGGUUGCAAGGAAAGCUUGCGUGACUGGUGCUAAGGAGAGGGUCGAUACACUGGCGAUUUGUGUCUGCUGUCUCAGCGUUCAUGCUCAAGCUUUGUCUCACGCCUAUGGUUGUCAGAAAUGGCGUUUUGUGCACUUAAUUUAGCAAUGACACAAAAUAAAAAGGCACUUACAAUCUUCACUCAGAUGUCUCCAUAGUGAACUCAGCUAAUUUGAUACAGAUGGGUUGUCUUAUAUUUUAACAUGGCAUUUGUUUGUAUUGUUGCCUUUUCGUAGGUGCACCAAACAUAUUGAUGUUGCUAUUUUAUGUUUUGACA